UUCGACCUGAGCUCAGGC
rnacentral:rRNA from 1 species